GCGAAUGUGGUUAACAGUUUUCGGAGAGGGCGCAAUCUCGGCAAUACAGCCUUCCAAGCUGAAUACGAGGGUUCGAUUCCCUUCACCCGCUCCA
rnacentral:tRNA from 1 species